AUUGAACGCUGGCGGCAUGCUUUACACAUGCAAGUCGAACGGUAACAGGCCGCAAGGUGCUGACGAGUGGCGAACGGGUGAGUAAUGCAUCGGAACGUGCCCAGUCGUGGGGGAUAACGCAGCGAAAGCUGCGCUAACACCGCAUACGAUCUAUGGAUGAAAGCGGGGGACCGUAAGGCCUCGCGCGAUUGGAGCGGCCGAUGUCAGAUUAGGUAGUUGGUGGGGUAAAGGCUCACCAAGCCAACGAUCUGUAGCUGGUCUGAGAGGACGACCAGCCACACUGGGACUGAGACACGGCCCAGACUCCUACGGGAGGCAGCAGUGGGGAAUUUUGGACAAUGGGCGCAAGCCUGAUCCAGCAAUGCCGCGUGCAGGAAGAAGGCCUUCGGGUUGUAAACUGCUUUUGUACGGAACGAAACGGCUCUGGUUAAUACCUGGGGCUAAUGACGGUACCGUAAGAAUAAGCACCGGCUAACUACGUGCCAGCCGCCGCGGUAAGAC
rnacentral:rRNA from 1 species